AGCAGCAGCCGCGGGAAUACGAAGGGUGCAAGCGUUAAUCGGAAUUACUGGGCGUAAAGGGUGCGUAGGCGGGUUUUUAAGUCAGAGGUGAAAUCCUGGAGCUCAACUCCAGAACUGCCUUUGAUACUGAAAGUCUUGAGUAUGGGAGAGGUGAGUGGAACUGCGAGUGUAGCAGUGAAAUGCGUAGAUAUGCGGAGGAACACCGAUGGCGAAGGCAAUCCCCUGGACCUGUACUGACACUCAUGCACGAAAGCGUGGGGAGCAAACAGGAUUAGAUACCCGUGUAGUCCCUGUCUCUUAUAC
rnacentral:rRNA from 1 species